UGCGCGCGCGGAUGGUCACAUGACCGCGGGCGUUAGGAAAGCAGCAGCAGCAGCAGCAGUAGUAGAGUCUCUUGAAUACCGACACAGCAAGCGGAGAAGAGUUUGCACAGCUCCAGACCUAGCCUAGAAACUUCACACAGCUCUCAGGAUCGCUCUUAUAAACCGCUAGUCCAAAUCAUCUUGCCAGGAAGUGGAGGUCCAGAGAGGUCGAAUGGCCUGGAAAUAGCGUUACUCUGACGGUUACAAUCUCUGAGAGUAAACAAAACAAAUCGGAGCGGUCAUGCGGGAGUCCGGACAGUUUGCGGAGCUUUUCUGACCUUUAUAAAUCACGCACACCAGCGAUUUUUUUUCCUUCCGGCGUGUUUCAGAUAUCUAUUUGUUUGUUGAAGAGAUAUUUUUGUAAGCGAGACACUUUGAAAGUGUUCUGGCUCGAAGCGGGACUUCUCUGGAGAAGUGAGGACAGAAGAGGGGUCUCAGACUGAUAGAGCCUGUGGAGGAGCCUGCGGUGGAGUCUGUUCUUCUCCUCAUAACUGUCGUUUUUCCCAACUGAAAUUUAAAGCAGACGUUUUGAAAUAUGGUGGGGGAAAUGGAAACAAAAGAGAAACCCAAGCCGACUCCUGACUAUCUCAUGCAGCUCAUGAACGACAAGAAACUGAUGAGCAGCCUGCCUAACUUUUGUGGGAUUUUCAACCACCUAGAGCGGCUUCUGGACGAAGAGAUUGGCCGGGUACGGAAGGACAUGUACAAUGACACACUGAACAGUAGUACAGACAAAAGGACAUCGGAGCUCCCAGACGCCGUGGGGCCAUCUGCACAGCUCCAGGAGAAACUUUAUGUGCCUGUAAAAGAAUAUCCAGACUUCAACUUUGUGGGGAGAAUCCUCGGCCCACGUGGGCUCACUGCCAAACAGCUGGAAGCUGAGACAGGCUGCAAGAUAAUGGUGCGAGGCAAAGGCUCCAUGAGAGACAAGAAGAAGGAGGAGCAGAACCGUGGAAAGCCCAACUGGGAGCAUCUGAACGAGGACCUGCAUGUGCUCAUUACAGUUGAAGACUCACAGAACCGUGCUGAGAUAAAACUCAAGAGAGCUGUGGAGGAAGUUAAGAAGCUACUUGUGCCUGCAGCUGAAGGUGAAGACAACUUGAAAAAGAUGCAGCUGAUGGAGCUGGCAAUUCUCAAUGGCACAUACCGAGAUGCCAAUAUCAAAUCACCAGCCUUGGCUUUCUCUUUGGCUGCCCAGGCUCCACGCCUCAUCACCGGCCCAUCCCCAGUGAUGCCCACUGCAGCCCUGCGUACUCCUGCGCCUACUGGUCCCACCCUCAUGCCUCUAAUCCGACAGAUCCAGACCUCUGCUCUAAUGCCUGCUGGCACCCCUCACCCCACUGCUACACUGAUGCCCCAGACCCCCGAGUCGGGUAUUAUCUACACCCCAUACGAGUAUCCCUAUACUCUGGCCCCUGCCACCUCUAUCCUUGAGUAUCCCAUUGACUCCAGUGGUGUAUUAGGUAUGGCUUUCCCUACAAAAGGCUAGUAGAGUUCGUGGACAGUCUGCAUUCCUCAAAAGUGUUAACUGUUUUUUAUUUUAUAGCAGUUGCAGAACAAUAAAACAAAAACCCUUAAUAGUUUUUUAACAAAAAAAUAGAAAUACCAAGACAAAAAUCAUUUACUACUGAUGUUUACACUGGUCUUAACUUCCCAGAGUUUAUUCUUUUGUAACUUUGGAUUAUUUUGGUUUGUCUUUGACUUAUGAAUUAAUUAUAAAUUUAAAUUAAAGAUAACUUUAUUAUUAAUGAUUAAUCAAAUAGAUUUGUCACUAUCACUUUGCUUUGAAUAUCCUCCUACAGUUUGAAACCAUGUCAGCUACAUUCCCUGUGCUUGCUUAAUCUCUGAAUGCUCUCAGAAUAUUAUCAGUAUUAUGGCUGACUUUGUGUUAUAAACUGUAGUAAUAAGUGAAGCACUUGCAAUGUGCCAAUGUAAAUCUAUCUAUAAGAUUCUGUGUGAAAUUAAUCUGUCUUAGUAAAAGCAGUUCGUCCUUUUUUUUUAGAGAGAGAGAGAGAAAGCGAGAGAGAGACUUAAGGGCUCUGUUGUCAUAGUUCAGCAAGUAAAGCAAAUAUAAACACUUGUCUUGUGUCACCUAAUAGAUAUUCCUGGGGUGUUUACAAAUUAUAAUGGAAGAUUUCUGCACCAUGAAAACAAAGCCCAUUUUCACUUCUUUUUGUGAUUUAUUGGGUCUUAUAAUCUUGUUGUGGAUGUAUUUUGUUUAGUUAUUUUCCAGUGUUUUGUUGUUGAUGUGUUGUAAUAAUUAAUUAUCUGAUGUUACUUUCUAUUUUAUUGGUAAUAUUACAUUCUAAGCAGGUGCAGUGACUACUAAAGUACGAAGGCAGGAUAUGCGCGUCCAUCCUUACCAAAGGGUAGUGACCGCAGAAAGAGCUGCCACCGGCAACUAACCAAUGACCCUCUGAGCUCUCAACUCUUCACCCAAUGAUGACCUGACCAUUGCCUGUGUGCUGACCAGUUCUCUGGCUCUCCUCCUUCACUUGUCUCGUACUCGCAGCCUGCUGGUGAGCAACGAAUCAGAUUUAAUUCACUUAAUACAACACAGCAGUGACAGUCCCCCUGAACUCAACCGUCCAUCUGAGGACCUCCAUGGUCAGGUGAUCUAGUCUCCACAGCCUGCACUGAAGCAACAUAAAAGCAAUAAUAUGGUCUGGAACACCAUGUGCAAAAUCAUUACUAGUUCCACUCAGACUUUCUCACACACACACACACACACACAACAGUUCUCGUAAUAGAAUAUAGAGAUUGAGCAUUAAGCUGGUGCUUUGAUAAAGUUGUGGAGACACACAGGACUGAAACUUUGUGGCUGUGUAAUGUGUUCACGUGUAUCAGCAUGUUCAUGUACGAGAGAGUGUGAAGAUGAGCAGGGGAAAUCUGCAAAAGUUUUUUUUUUAAAAGAUAACUCAAAGUUAUAAUGUACAUUGAUAAAGUAAAAGCCAUUCUUGCCCAUCAGCAUCUUAAAGACAAAUAGAAUAAAAUGCAUUUAUAAAUAAGAAUAAUUUUACAAGCACCGAAGACUAGCUCAUGCAUUUUUUGAUAUGAGGUUGCUGCAGGUGAAAUUACUCUAUUUUUCACAAUGUUUCUUUUUUUGUACAUGCAUUAAAUGACAAAGAAGAAUGGAAAGAUUUUAGAGACCAAAAUGUCUUUUUUAACAUUUGAAGUGCCUUAUUUUACAGUACAUAUGAUCAUUGUGGAUGAAUAUCCAUCACUGUUUAUGAGAACAUAUCGAUUAUAAUCAGUUCCUUCAUUUCUUUAUUGGUUAAUGGGAUGAAUGCCAAAAACGCACCCAGCAAAUUAGAUUUUUUUUUUUUAAACAUUUAUGCUUAGACAUUAUUUCUAACUCUGAUUUACAGUCGUGCCAUGCGUUAUGUUAUGUGCCAUGCGCAUGCAGUAUAUUAAAUACUGGUUACUUUGUGAUACUCACUCUGGUUCAGCAGUAACAUCUGCUCCUCCACUAUGAAGCUCGUGUCAAAACAGCAUUUAUGCAUCAACAAAAAAAAUGCUUAAACUGUUACAGAGAAGGUUUUAGUUACUAUUUAGUCACUGGUUCUAUGAAUUAUAAAUGUAAGAUGGAUUCAGCAAGUGUUGUAGAAGGUGAUUUUCUUUUCAGUUUUACAUUAUUACGACGUGAACUGUGAAAUAAAGCAAAUGGAAUCUUAAAACUAGAAGUCUAUGCAAUUGAGUUGCUCUUGCCAAGUUUCAUGAGGUUUUCCUGCAGGUCUUCCAGAUUACACAGCCAAGCAUUAACAAGGAAACGAUUCGAUUAGAAACUCAAUCGAGAAUAUGGAGAUUGCUUUUGUUAUUUAAUUUGUAACAUGAUUAACAAGAAUAAUCGUUCUUAUUUCGGUUGUUAUAACUGGAUCUUCAGUAUCUCUUUUCUGUUACUUUGUAUUUAGUGCCAUAUAUUAAGUAGUUUUUAAAGGUCUAGAAAUUUUAUGUCAUUUCUUUUAUUGACACGUGAGAAUCAGCACAGGAAAAUAUUUUGAAACACAACAAAUUUCUCAAUUAACUUCAAAACGGGAGUUCUGGGUUCUAAGAUGUUUUCCUAGGUUUGAUCUGUUUUAUUUCUUUUUGUGAGCAGUAUUAUAAGAUUGUGUAAUUGGCAGUGUGUGUGUGUGUGUGUGUGUGUGUGUGUGUGCAUACGUACGUGUGUUUGUGUGUUUGUGUGUGUGUGUGUGUGUGUGUGUGUGUGUGUGUGUGUGUUUGAUUGAUUUGUUGAAUAUGAUCUACACCAGUCAACUGCACCUCCCUUUUUUUAAGCAGUCUUGUUUAUUCCACUGGAAAUGUCUGGUCCUAUUUAUAACCAUUGUAACAACUAUAAAAUGUAUUUUUCUAUCACAUUUUGUAUGUAUGAAAUAACAUUAAAUCAUGUUUUCUGA